AUGGGAUCAAUUUUAUAUUUUUAGCUUCCUUCUUUAUUGCUAGUUUCUUUAUUGGUUAUUAUUUUACUCCCCCUCAAUAUAGCAAUCGUAAAAGAUAUAUCAAUUUGGUCAUUGAAAAGAUAUUGCUAUUCAAGUAUUUCAGACUUUAAAAGUAACUCCAUUUGAUCAGAGAUAUUCAUUGAAAGUUAAAGUAUAUAUAUAUCCAAAAGAUGAGUGAAUACAAAGAUGUUUCAAUACAUAAGUGUUGACUUAGAGUACAAAAGACAUGGAUAGAAAC
rnacentral:lncRNA from 1 species